rnacentral:rRNA from 1 species
UACGGAGGGUGCAAGCGUUAUCCGGAUUCACUGGGGUUAAAGGGUGCGUAGGCGGGCAGGUAAGUCCGUGGUGAAAUCUCUGAGCUUAACUCAGAAACUGCCAUGGAUACUAUUUGUCUUGAAUAUUGUGGAGGCAAGCGGAAUAUGUCAUGUAGCGGUGAAAUGCUUAGAUAUGACAUAGAACACCCAUUGCGAAGGCAGCUUGCUACACAAUGAUUGACGCUGAGGCGCGAAAGCGUGGGGAGCGAACAGG